rnacentral:rRNA from 1 species
AUGCCGAGCCUCUCGGGAGAGCCUCUUCCAAUUUCCCCUCCUCACCAAGGACGAGGGCAUGAGGUAGUAACUGUAGCAUGCAGAAUUACCUACAGCUUGAGUAUAUACACAUUAUCCACUUCAUAUUUUAUUCCAAUGGUUUUACUUCCACAUCACAUGUUUAUUUAUAUUAAAUCACAAGAACUUCAUGAGCUUGCUUGGUUACCGUGGAGAAGGGCAUUCUUUCAUGGAGCUGUAGAUUUUUUGAAUAUGCUCCCUGUUGGACACUUUUUUGGGUAUGUCCAAGAUUUGUUGAGAAUGGGUGUGAAAAAAUUGACCAUCUGGUGGACUUAUACGCACGGUAUGUUUAGUUUCAAGAUAACUAAUGGAACUGCUUUAUUCCUUGCUGUGUACAUUUUUAGAACAUUAUUCCUUUUUUGUGUACUGAUUGAAUGA